rnacentral:rRNA from 1 species
ACGUAGGUCCCGAGCGUUGUCCGGAUUUAUUGGGCGUAAAGCGAGCGCAGGCGGUUUAAUAAGUCUGAAGUUAAAGGUAGUGGCUUAACCAUUGUUCGCUUUGGAAACUGUUAGACUUGAGUGCAGAAGGGGAGAGUGGAAUUCCAUGUGUAGCGGUGAAAUGCGUAGAUAUAUGGAGGAACACCGGUGGCGAAAGCGGCUCUCUGGUCUGUAACUGACGCUGAGGCUCGAAAGCGUGGGGAGCAAACAG